CACGGACCUAGACAAAACAAUGAAACAUCUGAGCUUCUACCCUAACACUAUGUUCUUUGGAGUUAUUCCAGACAGUUUAGGUUCUUUAUAUUUUCUCAUAUGCAAAAGUCUUUUGUACAGCCUGGUGUGACUGCAACAUCCUGGUAUUUGCAUUGCUUAUUUAAAUGCUAAGUGCGUUCCAAGAGUUAUUGAAGAAGACAACAUCCUCAUGCUGAGAAAAGGUACAUGUGAGGUACCCAGUACAAUUCAGCCUGUUCCCAAUCUAAAUCCUCACCUUAAAGAAUACUGUGUUAAAUCCUUUGUUUAGAGAAGCUUUCAAAAUUACCCUGAUUUCUUCAAAGUGAUGAUGACUUAUAGCAACUGAGAGCCUGGCUAUGUUCAGAUAUUUUAAAAUAUCCCAUCAGACAGGAGUUACGAAUGUAAAGGAUUAUAAAACAAACCCUAUUUUGAUUCAUUCUAUUACAUAUCUUACUGGUGUCCAAAAUGCUUGCAUGGUUUUCUUUGAGGGAAUAAGUCUCCCAUUUCAGUGCUAGUAUCUUCAUCCCACCUGCUGUGUUAUGAGUUUGUUUUUUUCUUUUUUUUUCCCCCAGAAAAUUACCUUGCAGCAGAUGACCAUAGUAUUUGGGGUGAAACAGUGAGUGGGCAGAAACUGCAAUCUGGACAUUUUCAAGGGGAGAUCGAAUUACACAGCUUGCUGUAAGAAGUACAAGCAAAUUUUAGUCUGGACAGUGCUUAUCUAUUUUUGCAAGUACAUCACUUUGGAAAGUGUUUUGCUCAGCUAAUCUAUAUAGCUGUCAUAGAAAUGUAAUUUUUCCCUCCUUCAAACCAACAGUGGGCACCUGGCAAGCUUACUUGCGCACCCAUGCAUUCAAGUCUAGCGGUUUCCAUGGAAACCCAUCAAACUGUCGCAUCAGUUUUCUAACAUGCUGCCACUUCACAAACACGGGACAAGCUGCUUUGCACAAUAUUCCUGUACAAUGCUAUUUUGUUUUCUCUCUGAAGACAGUUCAGGCAGCUGUCACUGGCAUGAUAACAAAAACUGGAGUCAUAAUUGUCCACCAACGAAGUUCAACAAAGCUGUGAAGGAUCUGGAGCACAAGUCCUAUGGGGAGCGGCUGAGGGAACUGGGAUUGUUCAUUCUGGAGGAGAGGAGACUCAGAGGAGACCUUACCACUCUCUACAACAACCUGAAAGGAUUUUGUGGCGAGGUGGGGGUCAGCUUCUUCUCCCAGGUAACAGUGAUAGGAUGAGAGGGAAUGGCCUCAAGUUGUGCCAGGGGAGGUUCAGGUUGAAUAUUAUAAAAAGUUAUUCUCUGAAAGAGUGGUGAUACAUUGGAACAGGCUGCCCAGAGUGGUCAUUACUCAUAUCACAUUGACUGUGUGUGUAGUCUUUUCAUAAAUUGUCUUUGUCUCUUCCCUUAUGUAUGUACAUGCGCAGACUAAAGAGUGUGUGUAAUUCCUGAGUGUAGAUUCAUAAAGUGAAAUAUUAUUAUGUACUAUGUUAAGUACAGCUGCAUCAUUAUUUACAAGUGGUCUGCCAGUCUAGCUAUCUAAUCUGUCAAUUAUGUCAGGGUCUUGUUAGUCUUGACCUGAGUCUUGAUAUAUUUCUUAGCUGCUCUUUCAUUCUGUAGGAUUUGUGACUCCAGUAUCAUGAUUAUGUUUUCUGUACAUUGUCUGAAUGGUUUAUUUCAAAAAGUGCAAUGAGUCAAUUAUGUUCUGGCCUGUUUUCUAAGUGCUGGAGAAAAGCUCUGAUUGCUUUCUGUCAGUUGACUCAGGCAUGGCUAUUUCCUGAGUAAUUUCUCUUUGCCAGUAGGAUAAUGUCCCACUGAGAAUAUUGCCUCCUUAUUGUAGAAAGUUUUGCAUUUUGGUGGUUCACAAUUAAUAACAGUGAUGUUAUUAAUUUUCAAUGUAUUUUAUAACUUUUAAAGCAAUGAAAAGACUAAUUUAUAAUGUUAAGGAAUAAAAUUAUGGCCCACUCCUUCCCUAAGGGGAAA
rnacentral:lncRNA from 1 species